rnacentral:rRNA from 1 species
AUUGAACGCUGGCGGCAUGCUUUACACAUGCAAGUCGAACGGUAACAGGCCUUCGGGUGCUGACGAGUGGCGAACGGGUGAGUAAUGCAUCGGAACGUGCCAAGUGGUGGGGGAUAACGCAGCGAAAGCUGUGCUAAUACCGCAUGUGAUCUGAGGUUGAAAGCGGGGGACUAGGCAGCAAUGUUUGGCCUCGCGCCUUUGGAGCGGCCGAUGUCAGAUUAGGUAGUUGGUGGGGUAAAGGCCUACCAAGCCGACGAUAUGUAGCUGGUCUGAGAGGACGACCAGCCACACUGGGACUGAGACACGGCCCAGACUCCUACGGGAGGCAGCAGUGGGGAAUUUUGGACAAUGGGCGCAAGCCUGAUCCAGCAAUGCCGCGUGCGGGAAGAAGGCCUUCGGGUUGUAAACCGCUUUUGUACGGAACGAAAAGGCUCUGGCUAAUACCUGGGGCUGAUGACGGUACCGGAAGAAUAAGCACCGGCUAACUACGUG